GGUUAAUCAGUACCUUGUCCAGCUCCACAUCUCCUGGGAGAAAGAGAUGGAAGCCCUGUUCCCUCGGCUUUAAGAGACAGGAAGUUUCGUCAUCCCCAUCCUUGGCACGUGGAAGUCAGCAGCCUGUGCAGGGAGGGAGUGACCAGCACAUCCAACUCCACGAGGCACUAAAGAGAAGAGGCGGGGCUGUGCUCUGGCCUGAAAGCCUUGGGUGACGGUUGAAAACCUAGUUCACCAUCCAGGAGAGAAGACGACAUCCCAGCAGGGAACUCUGCUUGGUCAAAAUGCCACUCGGUGUAAACGUGUAGAGACUUCACGCAGGGCCUCACGCAGAGCUGGGCAUCUAUGAAGUGACUCAGAGUGGACAAUAGAACUCAAAGGACUGUAAGCUCAGGAGCCCGCAGCCCAGGCCCUGCCCAAGGUGUCUCUAGGCAGAGCUGGGAUUAGACCCCGUGAUGCCUCUUGAACCUCCGCUGUUGCCACGUCCAGAGAAGAGUGCGUAUUUUCUAGCUCACGCACGUGGUCUCAGGGUUUUGUGUUUCUGGGUGUUGGACUUCUUGGGAUUGUAACCUUUGCUCUCCUGGGUCGGCAAGUUCUAACUUUGUGUGUAAUCUUCCUGAAGUUGAUCCACUGCUCAGAAAACCCGUGAACCAAAACUCCCAGGGGAAUAUAGGAUCCGUGCAUACUGCAGAAGCCUCAGAGGCCAAAUGUGUGGGAUUUCCAAAGGAAGUGAAAGUCUGACUUCAGCACCAGCUGGGACACCCAGACCAGCUGGCCGCAGCCCAGCCCCACGGCCAACUUUGCCCUGCAACCCAGAACCAGCUUGUUUUCCCUGAGCCAAAGCUCACAGCCACUCCCCACUAACCCCCCAGCAGACAAGAGAACUGGAUCACUUGUCAGUAACACUGCCAUGGUGUGUCCCCUGAGGGUCUGGGCAGCCUUAGAAAGACUCUGAGACCUGGCCAUAGACUUUGCCCUUAGAAAUCAAAGAGGGUCUCUCCCUCUCUGUCUCUCUUAAAUGAGCAGUUGCUCUGGGACCCAGCCCUAGGUCACCCAGGAAUGGACAGAUGGACAGAAAAAAGACAAAGAAGACAUGCCUAGGUAACUCGGAGGCCAGUGUUGUGUCUGUCCGCUAAUGGUGCUUAGAAGGGACGUGACCAUCAAUAAUCAUUUUGAACAAGAGCCAAAGCAUCAGCCGAGCUGCCCCUCCAAGCCAAUCUGGAGGAGAAAAAUAGUGCAAAGAAAGAUGUUAUUCAGGGCCACAAAUGGCCUCUCUCUGCUGCUCAGUCUCCCCCCGGGUCUCUGGAAUCCUUCCCACCCACAGGCACCAGCCUCUCCACCAGUGAUGGUAUGUGGGGGGAUGGGAGAACUGGCCGCUCAACUCUGCCUGGCCAAUUGGCUGCACAUGGUGGAUCACAGAGUACAAGGGGAUCCAGGCUCAGAGCGAUACACCCCAGACGCCAUCCGUCAGCCCUUUGGGGUCUUCCAUUUGCCAGCACCCAGGGGACCAAAGAUUCCUCUCUCUCUCAAACAGUACAAUUAGACUCAGGGCCUUCCUUUCAGGAGGGCUCAUGGGGAGUUGACAAGAAGGGCACCUGACAAAAUAUGGGGCUACCAGCUUCCCCAGGGAAAGGCCGAGACCUGUAGAGUCUGUUGGUGUUUACCUGACUUGGACAGUUGGCUGGGAUGGAAAAAGAGAAAGCCAUUUUCAGUAUAUUCAUACUCCUGGGAAAUAAAAAGGAAGGAACCGUCGAUAGACAAUUUGGGUGAGUGGCAGUGGUGUUUAUGCCGAGUGAAAGAAGCCAGUCUCAGAAGUUCAUCUACUGUAAGGUUCCAUUUAUUCAAUUUCACAAUUUCUCUGGUAGUUAGGUUUUGGCACACAUGAUAUGUUAGGUGUGAUACUUAAAUCUGUAUUGUAACAAACUGGGUUACGCUGGAGUUCUAACACAGGUUUAAAUACCAGCAAACUGAAAUACUGCAGUCAGGGUGAAUUGUUCAUGCAAUGGCACAAGUGCAAUUUCAGCAUGCCUUAUUAGUUUACACGUUAGAGGAAAUAUUACGAAUAUGCACGGAUGGUAUUUAGUUUCGUAGGAGCACACAUGAUCAGUAGGUGGUUGCAACUGUGUUUUCACUUUGAUAGCUGUAUAUAACUCAUAGUACUUAUGAAAAAAACAUUUUAAAAAUACCAACUUUUUUUUCUUAAGGUAGGGUUUUUUUUCUUUUGGCUUGCACUUUUAAUUUUUUUAUUGAAGUACAAUUGACCUUUGACACUCUGUUCCAGAAGCACAACAUAGUGAUUUGAUAUUUGUAUACGUUACAGAAUGAUCACCAGUGAAAAGUCUAGUCACUCUCUGUCACCGUACAAAGUUAUUAUAAUAUUGUUGACUAUAUUCCCUAUGCUGUACGUUUCAUCCCCAUGACUCUUUUAUUUUGACGCUGGAGGUUUGCACCUCUUAAUCUCCCCACCUAUGUCCCCACCCCCCGCCUCUGGCAACCACUUGUUUGUUCUCUCUAUCCAUGACUCUUUCUAUUUUGUUAGGUUUGUUCAUUUGUUGUUCAGAUUACAUGAAUAAGUGAAAUCACAUGGUAUUUGUCUUUCUCUGUCUGAUUCUUUUCAGUUAGCCUAAUACCCUCUAGGUCCAUCCAUGUUGUUGCAAAUGGCAAGAUUUCUUCUCUUAUUUCUAAAUGAUUAAGCAAUAUUUCAUUGUGUGUAUAUAUAUCACAUCUUCUUUAUCCAUUCAUCUAUCAGUGGGCACUUAGGUACUUCAGCCACUCUUUGUCUUUUGAUUGGAGUAUCUAGUCCAUUUAUAUUUAAAGUAAUUAUUGAUAGGUAUGUCCUUGUUGCCAUUUUGUUCAUUGUUUUCUGGUUGUUUUUGUAGCUCCUUUUUGUUCCUUUCUUCUUCUUUUUCUCUCUUCACUUGUGGUUCAAUAACUACCUUCAGCUUUGUGUUUAGAUUCCUUUCUUUUUUUCUGUAUCUACUAGAACUAUAUGUUUUUGGUUUGUAGUUACUGUGAGGUUCAUAUAUAACAACCUAUAUGUACAUGAUUACUUUAAAUUGAUAACCUCUUAAGUGUGAACACAUGCUAACAACCUUGCAUUUUUACUGUGCCUCCACUGUGUUUAAUGUUUUUGACAUUGUAUUUUACCCCUUUUGGUUUUGUGUGUCCCUUUACUAUGUAUUGUGUAUACAGAUGAUUUCCCUAGCUGUUUUAGCCAUCUCAGCCCAGGAGCCAGAUAUUUAUGGAAACUUCAGAUGGCUCCAGCCCACACUAUCUCAUGAGACCCCGUGUAAGAACUGCCAUGCUGAGCCCAGUCGACUCCUAGACCAUGAGAGAUAAUAAUGUUAUCCUUUUAAGCCACUACAUUUUGGGGUGGUUUGUUACACAGCAAUUAACAAGUGGGACACCAUCUGAAGACGAUGUCUCAUCAGGAAGUUUUCUGUCACAUUCAGGGGCAGGGUUUAAACUCCCUCUUCUCCAAUUCAAACUGGAAGAUGUUUUCUUGCCUUUGCAGGCCAAUCUCUGGUCCCCUCACCAGAAAACCAUAUGAAUUUUUCACCCAGGUCUAGCUACUCAAAACCAGGAGUCCUUGAGCUGGUCAGUGGUGGCAGGUACUUUUGACUGGUUAACCCAAAGUCAUUCCCCAGAACUUUUUUCCUGUCCUUCUCGUACUGUAAAGCCUGGGAUUUAAAGGCCAAAUGCACACUUUCUGGCUUUUCCAGGGAGGACUUUAUAAUCCCUCUUUGGCCAAUGAUGUGAGUCAGCUGUUGGGUUCUUGUAAACAGUAUUUGCUUGCCGAUAAAGGAGAAGCUGGGAGAAGAAACGCUGCCUGACAUCACCUCCUGCUUCCUGCUCUGAACAUGGUAUGAGGAUGUGAUGUAUGGGGCUGCUGCAACCAUUUUGAAACCAUGAAGGGAAAGCUAAAAGCCCAGAGCCCUGUCAUCUUCUUUACGAGAAAAAUAAACAACUCUUUCUUUA